rnacentral:rRNA from 1 species
GUACACAAAAGCGCAUGUGCUGUGAGCUCGAUGAGUAGGGCGGGACACGUGGUAUCCUGUCUGAAUAUGGGGGGACCAUCCUCCAAGGCUAAAUACUCCUGACUGACCGAUAGUGAACCAGUACCGUGAGGGAAAGGCGAAAAGAACCCCGGCGAGGGGAGUGAAAAAGAACCUGAAACCGUGUACGUACAAGCAGUGGGAGCAACCUUUUGGGUGUGACUGCGUACCUUUUGUAUAAUGGGUCAGCGACUUAUAUUCUGUAGCAAGGUUAACCGAAUAGGGGAGCCGGAGGGAAACCGAGUCUUAAU